UACGUAGGGUGCGAGCGUUAAUCGGAAUUACUGGGCGUAAAGCGUGCGCAGGCGGUCCUGCAAGUCGGGGGUGAAAACCCGGGGCUCAACCCCGGAAUUGCCUCCGAAACUGCCGGACUUGAGUACGAGAGAGGGUUGCGGAAUUCUUGGUGUAGAGGUGAAAUUCGUAGAUAUCAGGAAGAACACCAGUGGCGAAAGCGGCAACCUGGCUCGAUACUGACGCUCAUGCACGAAAGCGUGGGGAGCAAACAGG
rnacentral:rRNA from 1 species